rnacentral:rRNA from 1 species
UAGGGCUUUGCGGCAUGUCUAUAAUGCAGUCGGACGGGAUCCAUUGAUAGCUUGCUAUCAAUGGUGAGAGUGGCGCACGGGUGCGUAACGCGUGAGCAACCUGCCUCCAUCAGGGGGAUAGCCUCUCGAAAGAGAGAUUAACACCGCAUAACAUAAUGUUCCGGCAUCGGAGGAUUAUUAAAUAUUUAUAGGAUGGAGAUGGGCUCGCGUGACAUUAGCUAGUUGGUAGGGUAACGGCUUACCAAGGCGACGAUGUCUAGGGGCUCUGAGAGGAGAAUCCCCCACACUGGUACUGAGACACGGACCAGACUCCUACGGGAGGCAGCAGUAAGGAAUAUUGGUCAAUGGGCGGAAGCCUGAACCAGCCAUGCCGCGUGCAGGAUGACUGCCCUAUGGGUUGUAAACUGCUUUUGUCCGGGAAUAAACCUCCUUACGAGUAGGGAGCUGAAUGUACCGGAAGAAUAAGGAUCGGCUAACUCCGUGCCAGCAGCCGCGGUAAUACGGAGGAUCCGAGCGUUAUCCGGAUUUAUUGGGUUUAAAGGGUGCGUAGGCGGCCCGUUAAGUCAGGGGUGAAAUACGGUGGCUCAACCAUCGCAGUGCCUUUGAUACUGACGGGCUUGAAUCCAUAUGAAGUGGGCGGAAUAAGACAAGUAGCGGUGAAAUGCAUAGAUAUGUCUUAGAACUCCGAUUGCGAAGGCAGCUCACUAAGCUGGUAUUGACGCUGAUGCACGAAAGCGUGGGAUCGAACAGGAUUAGAUACCCUGGUAGUCACGCCCUAAACGAUGAUAACUCGAUGUUGGCGAUAGACAGCCAGCGUCCCAACGAAAGCGUUAAGUUAUCCACCUGGGGAGUACGCCCGCAAGGGUGAAACUCAAAGGAUUGACGGGGGCCCGCACAAGCGGAGGAUCAUGUGUUUAAUUCGAUGAUACGCGAAGGAACCUUACCCGGUCUUGAAGGUAAUGGAAGGAUGCAAAGAUCAUCCGUCCUUCGGAACCAAACUAAGUGCUAGCAUGGGCUGUCGUCAGCUCGGGCCGCGAGUGUUGGUUAGUCCCGCAACAACGCCACCCCCUAUGUUUACUUGCCGUCAUGUUAUGCGGCGACUCUAACCGAACUGCCUGGCCAACGUUGAGAAGGUGGUACACGUCAGUCAUUCCCUGUCUUUACCUCUCGGCCUACCACUUGCGUUCAAUGUAACG